UGACAUUCAGUUUAGAAUUCAGUUUGCCACGGAUCGAUUUUAAUUUUUAAUCGUCACCAGACCGCAUUAGACGCACCUUUAAGGAAACAACGCUGCGCUACCGAUCGAGCUGGACCCGUCCAAGCCUCCCCCGCUUCCGAGCGGUGCCUCAGUCGAGAAUGACGACAGCAGCAGCAGCAGCUCAUCGUCGAGAAAAAAAGUGAAAAAUUCCUAAUCACCUCAACAGCACAACCACCAAGCACUGCAUUGUUUAAGGUGCCGCCAGCUCACACAGUGCUCCGGUGCACCAAGAGUUCCCGGUGACAAGUGCUGCAAAAAACCCCUCCGAAGAACAUAUGGAUGACCCAAUGUUGAAAACUCUCCCCACGCUCAUAAAAAAACCGUGGAGUAUUUCGCAGGGCUUGCUGGUCAAACUGCUAGAGCGGAUAUCUAAUGGCUUUCUUCCGGCUAAGGCUAAUGACACGAAACAGUCACCAACUUCAACACAAGCUUAGGAACCGGAGUCAGUCACACCGGGCAAAAAAAAAGAGAAACGUUCGGUGACCAAACAUACUGCUAUCGGAAAAAGAAUUCCACCGACUAAGCUGGCAGCGGUCUCAUGCAUUCAUGGGAGCCAGCCUCGAGCUUUAUCCAUCCGAUCUAGCAAAAUACGAAUGGAGGAUGUUGAAUUCUGUUGCCUCAAUGGCUAAAUUUUGUCCAUUUCAACGAGUACGUGAUGCUUUAAAAUAAAUAAUGAUAAUUAUAAAACCAA